AGUGGGAUAGCUGGGUCAAAUGGUGAUUCCAUUCCAAAUUUUCUGGGGAAUCUCCAUACUGCUUUCCAGAGUGGUUGCAGCAAUUUGUAUUCCUACCAGCAAU
rnacentral:pre_miRNA from 1 species